AUAAGGAGCUUGCUCCUUUGACGUUAGCGGCGGACGGGUGAGUAACACGUGGGUAACCUACCUAUAAGACUGGGAUAACUUCGGGAAACCGGAGCUAAUACCGGAUAAUAUUUCGAACCGCAUGGUUCGAUAGUGAAAGAUGGUUUUGCUAUCACUUAUAGAUGGACCCGCGCCGUAUUAGCUAGUUGGUAAGGUAACGGCUUACCAAGGCAACGAUACGUAGCCGACCUGAGAGGGUGAUCGGCCACACUGGAACUGAGACACGGUCCAGACUCCUACGGGAGGCAGCAGUAGGGAAUCUUCCGCAAUGGGCGAAAGCCUGACGGAGCAACGCCGCGUGAGUGAUGAAGGUCUUCGGAUCGUAAAACUCUGUUAUUAGGGAAGAACAUACGUGUAAGUAACUAUGCACGUCUUGACGGUACCUAAUCAGAAAGCCACGGCUAACUACGUGCCAGCAGCCGCGGUAAUACGUAGGUGGCAAGCGUUAUCCGGAAUUAUUGGGCGUAAAGCGCGCGUAGGCGGUUUUUUAAGUCUGAUGUGAAAGCCCACGGCUCAACCGUGGAGGGUCAUUGGAAACUGAAAAACUUGAGUGCAGAAGAGGAAAG
rnacentral:rRNA from 1 species